UCGCGCCACUGCACUCACUCCAGCCUGGCGACAGAGCAAGACUCCGUCUCAAAAAAAAAAAAAAGUUUCCUGGGUCCCACCUCCAAAAGAUGCUAAUUUUGUAGAUCUGAGUAGGACCUAAGGAUCUGCAUUUUUAAUACUGAAGCGUGUGGCCUUCAAGCUUGUGGCAUGUAGUAGGGACAGGAUGAAAAAUGAAACUGGAGAAUGAAAUGAAACCGAGUCAGUAUGAGAAGGGCCUCAUGCACAGCACCUGGAGUUUGGACUUUAUCCCGUGGUCUGUAAUAAGAAACAUCCACACAUCCACAUUUAUUGCCUACCCACCUUUGGUUCUGAAUCCUCAUUUCCACAGAUGCAACAUGACAUCUAUAACCCCUACAAAUCUGCAUACCCUUCCAGCCUUCCCAGAACUUCACUCCCUCCAUCUUCAUCACCUUAGCUCCUUUUAAGUAUUCACUCGCUAAGUCAAGAAAAUUAUUGGAGGGGGGCAGGGCAAAAAAACUAGGCUUUAAACUGUGGGGGAGUACCCAGAUAAAACAAACACAAGUCUCCCCACUUGAAAAACUGCUCUUUGACACCUGUACGCUAAGAUGUGAUUAUGGAUUAAAGUCACAGCACUCCUGCCCCCCCGAUUGGAAGGUUUUAUGGAAAAUGAACGUAUUUUAUUAGAAGACAUUGAAAACUUCCUGGAGCAGAUGAGUAAACACACCCUCGUGUUUACCUGAUAACUGAAAUCAAAGACGAGGUGUAGCCUUUGGUUUGAAAUGUUACAAAGUCUAAGAUCAACAUAAAGGCAGAAAAAUGGAAAGGAAAUAGCCAGUUUUGAAGCAGAAGAACUCAGUGGGAUGGGGCCAAAUCAGUGAAAGAGGUGCUGCUCAGAUACCAAAUAUCAUGACAACCAAAGUGGCCCAAACACCCAAAAAAAAUUGUGCUUCUGAAAACCAGCAGGAGGUUGCAGUGGACUAAAGAUGACCACAAAAUUUUUAUCAUUUUUCCCGUCGAGAAUGGGAGUUUAUUUUUCAUCAUCUUGAAUCUGGCCCUGUGACUGCAUAGCCAAGAAGGCAGAAGUGAUGCUCUGCCAGUUCUGGUUCUAGUCUUUUAGAAGACUGUCAGCUUCCACUUCCUCUUUCUCCAAAUGAGCUCUCUUGGGACACCCUCUCUCAGAACCAAACCACCAGGCAUGGGGCAUGUGUGGCCUUUUCACUCAGGAGCCCCAGCAACCAGCCAGUACUGAGCAUCACGUGCCAGUCACGUGAAUGAGCCAUCUAGGAUGUUCUCUGGUCAAGUCUAUACAAAAGAACUUUCCAGUUGAGCCCAGCCAACACAGAAUUAUGAAAUAAUAAAAUGAUUAUUGUUGAAAGUCAUGAAAUUUUGCAGUGUUUUUUUCAUAUAGCAAUAGAUAACCAAAAUCAAGAUUAAAUAUCAGAUUAUUAAAAUGGAGCAUGAAAAUGGAGUUAAAUUUGUAAGAACCACAACCCCAAUGAUCAUGACUUAGAGGAAAGUUCAGUAAAUAAAAAAGAAAAUAU